rnacentral:snRNA from 1 species
UCUCGCUUCGGCGGUACAUAUACUAAAAUUAGAACGAUACAGAGAAGAUAAGCAUGACCCCUGCGCAAGGAUGACACGCAAAAUUGUAAAGCGUUCCAUAUUUGU